rnacentral:lncRNA from 1 species
UGGUGUCCUUUCACGCUCUCUUCUUUGUCUUGCUGUAAUCUAAUCACCCAAGGCCUCUCCAGUCAUCAUUAAGCAUAUUCCCACUGGUCGGGGAGCUCCCUUUGAAGCAUCACUUUAGAGCAGCUGUCACAUUUGAGCAGCAUCUGCUUUCUGACAAGCUCAAAGACCGAAUGAAGGAAGUCACUGAGUCUUUCCCAGUGAGAGUGGGUAACACAAGCAGCCUUUGGGACUGCGAUCCAGAAUAUGCUUCUGUGUCUACUCUACAAAGUGCACAUCCCCAUCUGCUGCUCCUUGUUUGACUGUAUUGGCUUCUCAAUUGUCCUCUUGCCCCCACCUUCCCACUGCCUGCGGGGGGACAACCCACCCCCACCUGGGCUUUGAUGGCCCUGGAAAGAAGUUGGGUGCCGGGAAUGUAAAUGGAAGGUGGAGGAACCUACCUUGAGCAAUUCCAGUUGUGGGGCAGGUGACAGCUCCAGUCUGGGGGAUGGGCCUUAAAGAUGGCAGCUGUUUCUGGGCAAUGUGACAGUUGCAAUAGGUAAGCCAGAGGAGGAGGACUGAGAGAAAUCAGAGGAGGGUGGGGGAAAGUAGGGGAUACAGAAGUGAUGGGCCAGCAGCCAGUCCAACCAGUGAUAAUCAGAAAAGGAGGCAGAAGAGUAAGGCCAGUGGAAGCUCAAUGUCAGGAGGAAAGCUGAGGAGGAGCUGGCCCUGGGGGAGAAAACCAGGGGCGUGAGACCCUGCCAGAGAGGCUGUUGCCCAGCUCUGCGAAGUGUAGGCAGGCAGCGUGGGGGUAGAGCCAAGAGGAAAGGGAGCCUUAAAGACCCUUUUUCCCCACCCGUCUCCGGCCCUUUUGUUCUUUUUUCUUUCAUGUUCCUGUUCUCAUGUUAUAUUAGCAGCAGAAAACAAAACAAAACAAAAGGCAGUCUGUCUUGGAAAGGGAAUGGCAAGAUCUGGAGAAUUUAAAGCUGGAUGCACUUCCCUCUUUGCUGAACUCUUAGGCCCCUUUGGCCAUUUGGCUGCUGGAGUCCUGAGAGCCAGCCCCUUCCUGGAAAACCUUGAAUGGAGUCCCUCUACCAGCUUGACAGCCCAGCCCGAGUGCCAGUGGCAAGGGCAUCCAGCCGCGGUGUGCGCCCACAGAACCCCUCUGGGCGCAUGGGGCAGCCAGGAGAGCAGGGCUGUUGGCCAUCCCAGCUGGAGGGCUGGGGCUCGUCUUAGGCAGGGUCUGGGCUGAGAGGUGGCUUCCAUCAUGUGAUGUCAACCCAUCAUGGGCUCCUCCCCUAGGAACUGAGCUGCAGAGGCCUGUGGUAGAAGAAAGAGAAAGGAAAACUCUUGCUUAAAAAAUUUUAAUUGAAGAGGUAAUAAAUGCAUGUGGCAAAAAAUUAAAAGGUACAAAAGAAUUUACAAUCAAAAGUCUACCACUCCUCUUCUCCUCAAGUUACCCUCCUCAGAGGUCCCUGGAUGUUCCAAUUUCUGUUGCAGGUCCUUCUAGUUGUGGGAUGUGGGACGCCGCCUCAACGAGGCCUGACGAGCAGUGUCAUGUCCGCGCCCAGGAUCGGAACCCUGGGCCGCAGCAGCAGAGCGCGCGAAGUUGACCACUCGGCCACGGAGCUGACCCCUUUUUGGACCAAAUUUUAUUCCAUCCCCAGGUCUGGGAGUCCAUCCUAACAUGUACCAGAUGAUGAGGUCCUUGAUAAAGAAAUGAGUAUUCCUAAGAGCUUGGGUCCUGGCACCAUCCUGAAUCGGGC